CAUUACUGAGUUUACGCUCUACAACCCUUUGUGAACAUACCUAUAACUGUUGCUUCGGCGGGUAGGGUCUCCGCGACACUCCCGGCCUCCCGCCCCCGGGCGGGUCGGCGCCCGCCGGAGGAUAACCAAACUCUGAUGUAACGACGUUUCUUCUGAGUGGUACAAGCAAAUAAUCAAAACUUUUAACAACGGAUCUCUUGGUUCUGGCAUCGAUGAAGAACGCAGCGAAAUGCGAUAAGUAAUGUGAAUUGCAGAAUUCAGUGAAUCAUCGAAUCUUUGAACGCACAUUGCGCCCGCCAGCAUUCUGGCGGGCAUGCCUGUUCGAGCGUCAUUUCAACCCUCAAGCUCUGCUUGGUGUUGGGGCCCUACAGCUGAUGUAGGCCCUCAAAGGUAGUGGCGGACCCUCCCGGAGCCUCCUUUGCGUAGUAACUUUACGUCUCGCACUGGGAUCCGGAGGGACUCUUGCCGUAAAACCCCCAAUUCUCCAAAGGUUGACCUCGGAUCAGGUAGGAAUACCCGC
rnacentral:rRNA from 1 species